GGUUAAGCGACUAAGCGUACACGGUGGAUGCCCUGGCAGUCAGAGGCGAUGAAGGACGUGCUAAUCUGCGAUAAGCGUCGGUAAGGUGAUAUGAACCGUUAUAACCGGCGAUUUCCGAAUGGGGAAACCCAGUGUGUUUCGACACACUAUCAUUAACUGAAUCCAUAGGUUAAUGAGGCGAACCGGGGGAACUGAAACAUCUAAGUACCCCGAGGAAAAGAAAUCAACCGAGAUUCCCCCAGUAGCGGCGAGCGAACGGGGAGCAGCCCAGAGCCUGAAUCAGUGUGUGUGUUAGUGGAAGCGUCUGGAAAGGCGCGCGAUACAGGGUGACAGCCCCGUACACAAAAAUGCACAUGCUGUGAGCUCGAUGAGUAGGGCGGGACACGUGGUAUCCUGUCUGAAUAUGGGGGGACCAUCCUCCAAGGCUAAAUACUCCUGACUGACCGAUAGUGAACCAGUACCGUGAGGGAAAGGCGAAAAGAACCCCGGCGAGGGGAGUGAAAAAGAACCUGAAACCGUGUACGUACAAGCAGUGGGAGCACAGAGCAAUCUGUGUGACUGCGUACCUUUUGUAUAAUGGGUCAGCGACUUAUAUUCUGUAGCAAGGUUAACCGAAUAGGGGAGCCGAAGGGAAACCGAGUCUUAACUGGGCGUUAAGUUGCAGGGUAUAGACCCGAAACCCGGUGAUCUAGCCAUGGGCAGGUUGAAGGUUGGGUAACACUAACUGGAGGACCGAACCGACUAAUGUUGAAAAAUUAGCGGAUGACUUGUGGCUGGGGGUGAAAGGCCAAUCAAACCGGGAGAUAGCUGGUUCUCCCCGAAAGCUAUUUAGGUAGCGCCUCGUGAAUUCAUCUCCGGGGGUAGAGCACUGUUUCGGCAAGGGGGUCAUCCCGACUUACCAACCCGAUGCAAACUGCGAAUACCGGAGAAUGUUAUCACGGGAGACACACGGCGGGUGCUAACGUCCGUCGUGAAGAGGGAAACAACCCAGACCGCCAGCUAAGGUCCCAAAGUCAUGGUUAAGUGGGAAACGAUGUGGGAAGGCCCAGACAGCCAGGAUGUUGGCUUAGAAGCAGCCAUCAUUUAAAGAAAGCGUAAUAGCUCACUGGUCGAGUCGGCCUGCGCGGAAGAUGUAACGGGGCUAAACCAUGCACCGAAGCUGCGGCAGCGACGCUUAUGCGUUGUUGGGUAGGGGAGCGUUCUGUAAGCCUGCGAAGGUGUGCUGUGAGGCAUGCUGGAGGUAUCAGAAGUGCGAAUGCUGACAUAAGUAACGAUAAAGCGGGUGAAAAGCCCGCUCGCCGGAAGACCAAGGGUUCCUGUCCAACGUUAAUCGGGGCAGGGUGAGUCGACCCCUAAGGCGAGGCCGAAAGGCGUAGUCGAUGGGAAACAGGUUAAUAUUCCUGUACUUGGUGUUACUGCGAAGGGGGGACGGAGAAGGCUAUGUUGGCCGGGCGACGGUUGUCCCGGUUUAAGCGUGUAGGCUGGUUUUCCAGGCAAAUCCGGAAAAUCAAGGCUGAGGCGUGAUGACGAGGCACUACGGUGCUGAAGCAACAAAUGCCCUGCUUCCAGGAAAAGCCUCUAAGCAUCAGGUAACAUCAAAUCGUACCCCAAACCGACACAGGUGGUCAGGUAGAGAAUACCAAGGCGCUUGAGAGAACUCGGGUGAAGGAACUAGGCAAAAUGGUGCCGUAACUUCGGGAGAAGGCACGCUGAUAUGUAGGUGAGGUCCCUCGCGGAUGGAGCUGAAAUCAGUCGAAGAUACCAGCUGGCUGCAACUGUUUAUUAAAAACACAGCACUGUGCAAACACGAAAGUGGACGUAUACGGUGUGACGCCUGCCCGGUGCCGGAAGGUUAAUUGAUGGGGUUAGCGGUAACGCGAAGCUCUUGAUCGAAGCCCCGGUAAACGGCGGCCGUAACUAUAACGGUCCUAAGGUAGCGAAAUUCCUUGUCGGGUAAGUUCCGACCUGCACGAAUGGCGUAAUGAUGGCCAGGCUGUCUCCACCCGAGACUCAGUGAAAUUGAACUCGCUGUGAAGAUGCAGUGUACCCGCGGCAAGACGGAAAGACCCCGUGAACCUUUACUAUAGCUUGACACUGAACAUUGAGCCUUGAUGUGUAGGAUAGGUGGGAGGCUUAGAAGUGUGGACGCCAGUCUGCAUGGAGCCGACCUUGAAAUACCACCCUUUAAUGUUUGAUGUUCUAACGUUGACCCGUAAUCCGGGUUGCGGACAGUGUCUGGUGGGUAGUUUGACUGGGGCGGUCUCCUCCUAAAGAGUAACGGAGGAGCACGAAGGUUGGCUAAUCCUGGUCGGACAUCAGGAGGUUAGUGCAAUGGCAUAAGCCAGCUUGACUGCGAGCGUGACGGCGCGAGCAGGUGCGAAAGCAGGUCAUAGUGAUCCGGUGGUUCUGAAUGGAAGGGCCAUCGCUCAACGGAUAAAAGGUACUCCGGGGAUAACAGGCUGAUACCGCCCAAGAGUUCAUAUCGACGGCGGUGUUUGGCACCUCGAUGUCGGCUCAUCACAUCCUGGGGCUGAAGUAGGUCCCAAGGGUAUGGCUGUUCGCCAUUUAAAGUGGUACGCGAGCUGGGUUUAGAACGUCGUGAGACAGUUCGGUCCCUAUCUGCCGUGGGCGCUGGAGAACUGAGGGGGGCUGCUCCUAGUACGAGAGGACCGGAGUGGACGCAUCACUGGUGUUCGGGUUGUCAUGCCAAUGGCACUGCCCGGUAGCUAAAUGCGGAAGAGAUAAGUGCUGAAAGCAUCUAAGCACGAAACUUGCCCCGAGAUGAGUUCUCCCUGACUCCUUGAGAGUCCUGAAGGAACGUUGAAGACGACGACGUUGAUAGGCCGGGUGUGUAAGCGCAGCGAUGCGUUGAGCUAACCGGUACUAAUGAACCGUGAGGCUUAACCUU
rnacentral:rRNA from 1 species